AGUCCUACGGGGGGCAGCAGUGGGGAAUAUUGGGCAAUGGGCGCAAGCCUGACCCAGCAACGCCGCGUGAAGGAAGAAGGCCCUCGGGUUGUAAACUUCUUUUAUCAAGGACGAAACAAAUGACGGUACUUGAUGAAUAAGCCACGGCUAACUACGUGCCAGCAGCCGCGGUAAUACGUAGGUGGCAAGCGUUAUCCGGAUUUACUGGGUGUAAAGGGCGUGUAGACGGGACUGCAAGUCAGAUGUGAAAAUUAUGGGCUCAACCCAUAACCUGCAUUUGAAACUGUAGUUCUUGAGUGAUGGAG
rnacentral:rRNA from 1 species